rnacentral:misc_RNA from 1 species
UACCAGCAGCAGCAAAUGAACAGAGAGAACGAUCUUCCGGCUUAACAUUCCUUGGUUCUAUAAUGCCAUCGUUUUCUAAAAAGUUGUUUGGUCUAGAGUCCAAAUUCCAUGCUGGCUUGGUUGGAGGGAAGUAAGGUCUACUUGAAGCAGAAAGCUCUCCAGAAGCAGCUGGGACUGAUGUUCCCCUGCCAAAUCCAGUUCUCAGAGGACGAGCCAGAGGAACGGAAGUUGAUACCAUAGAUUGAUGAGGAAGUGUUGAUGAAGAUGAAGCAGUAUCUGACCUAGAUAGUUUAACAUGUUCAUACCUGCAUCGACUGCCAUAAGAGCAGAUUCCUUUUUGAUAAUAGGUGCAAAUAUUAUUUGGUGGAUCUUUCCAGUCAUGUGAAAACUCACAAUGCUCCCCUUUUAAACAUGCUCCAUGAGCAAAGAACUUGCAAAGUACCCUCUUAGACAUUGAGAUGAAGCUGAGAAGGCACGUAUUUCAAAUUGGAAGAAGAGAAUCGAAGAGGAGAGACAGAGAGAAAUUAAAGGGAGCAAAUUACAUGAAAAAGCAAAGAAUAAUUAAAGGAAGUUGCGUCUCUCCCAUUCCUCUCUCAAUUUCAUGCCC